CUCGAUGUCGGCUCAUCGCAUCCUGGGGCUGUAGUCGGUCCCAAGGGUUGGGCUGUUCGCCCAUUAAAGCGGUACGCGAGCUGGGUUCAGAACGUCGUGAGACAGUUCGGUCCCUAUCCGUCGUGGGCGUAGGAAAUUUGAGAGGAGCUGUCCUUAGUACGAGAGGACCGGGAUGGACAUACCUCUGGUGUACCAGUUGUCGUGCCAACGGCAUAGCUGGGUAGCUAUGUGUGGACGGGAUAAGUGCUGAAAGCAUCUAAGCAUGAAGCCCCCCUCAAGAUGAGAUUUCCCAACUUCGGUUAUAAGAUCCCUCAAAGAUGAUGAGGUUAAUAGGUUCGAGGUGGAAGCAUGGUGACAUGUGGAGCUGACGAAUACUAAUCGAUCGAAGACUUAAUCAA
rnacentral:rRNA from 1 species